rnacentral:rRNA from 1 species
GACGAACCGGGCGAACGUUGUUCGGAAUCACUGGGCUUAAAGGGCGCGUAGGCGGGCUCAUAAGUCAGGGGUGAAAUCCUACGGCUCAACCGUGGAAGUGCCUUUGAUACUGUGGGUCUUGAGGGAGGUAGGGGCGUGCGGAACUUCCGGUGGAGCGGUGAAAUGCGUAGAUAUCGGAAGGAACACCGGUGGCGAAAGCGGCGCGCUGGACCUCUUCUGACGCUGAGGCGCGAAAGCCAGGGGAGCAAACGGG